GUCUAAUCAUGUCAAGUCAAAGUUAAAAAGUCAAAGAAGCUUUAUUGUCACUUCAACCAUAUAUAGCUGAUGCAGUACACAGUGAAAGUUGAAGUGAAACAAUGUUCCUCCUAGACCAGAGGUGCUACAUAUCACACAGAUGUGGCAGGGUAGUUAGACCCUCCCAGUGGUGAUGUCACGGUGUUGGUAGCCUAUUAGCAGCCACAGGUGUGUAUAAGGGGCUGGUUUGCGUCAGUCAGGUGUGUGUCAUUCUCAUGUGCCUGCCUGCGUAUGGUUGUUAGCAGUUUGGCUAGUUACAUCAUGGUUUGCCUUAUCAUGGGUCAAUUACUUUGUAUGUACCUGUAAGCUUGUGUGUUGUUAGACUGCCUGUUUGACCGAACCCUUGUUCCCGAACUGUCGGCAUCAUCCUCGCGUUUUACACUGUUCGUAUGGUUACCGGCUCUGCUUUGGUGUGGCGGACGGCUGUAUUAUCUAAGGCUGUGGGCCUAAAAUACAGGGAGGCUGACUUUCUCACUCUUUUCCGGUGGAAGUGUUUUCUCAUCACUGUGUGCUGUGUUGUGCCGUGUUGAUCACUAAUAACAAUCUCACUGGGUAUCGAGUGAGUGUGAAUGUGUGCAUUGGUAGUGUGU